UCUCAGUCAGUCUCGCGCCUCUCUCUGUCUCUGUCUUCUUCUCUCUCGCAGCGCACUAUCUAUCUCUCUCUUUGUAUCUCUGUGCCUCUCGCUCGCUUUGCAAGGCUUGGUGUCUCUCUCACUCUCUCUCUUUACUGGUUGGAUUCGGAAUAUUUCUCUCCAAGGUUUGGUGGUCUCUGAUCGAAGGUAAGUAACGAUGCAGCAAUGCCCCCAUGUACACGAUUUUUGCAUGAGUCUUGGUUUUAUCUGAUUUUGUGGCUUGAUUUUAUGAGGUGCUAGGGUUAGGGUUUGAUGGUGGUGCUUGGAUUUGAAAAUUUUUGGGUCGAUCUUGGUUUUGGUUUGGUAUCUGCGGUGGGUGUUCUUUUUGUGGUGGGUUUCCAUGACACUUUCUCGACGUGUUUACAGCUAAUUACCUUUCUUUCGUGGAAGAAAAUACUUCCAUGUAACCAAAAGCUUAAACUUGAAACCCGCUUGUCGACUAAUACACAAUGGGUGAAAAACCUAUGUUCGAAUGAGGGACUAUGCUUGUAUUUACCAAAAAUUAGAUCCCCGAUUGGCUUGAUGAUCAGAAGCUGCAUAGACAUCCAAUACUUUAAUUGGAUGGAGUUAGCAAUUUCUAAUUCUUCACUAGUAUAGGGAAUAAUGAGCGAAGUUAUUGUUGACAUCUUUAUCAUUUUAGGAGUGUGUUCAAAAAAAUUGAAAAUUCUCAGUGAAAAUACUUUUAGAGUUCCAGAAAACACAUUCAUUGAUGAAACACUUCUUUUUGCUUGUCUGCCAAAUCAAAAUGCUUAUCAUUCGUGAUAAAUUUUUUAUUUUUUUUUAUUUAAUUUUUCAUGAGCAGUAUGGGGGUUUUCUUGCUUAGUGCAGGGGCUAAAGGUAAAUGAUUCCUUUGACUUGUAUUGUAGUGUGUUGAGUUCUGUUUCAUGAUUUUACUUGUGGUAAAUUAUGCUUUAUUUAUUGUCAUUUUGUAAGUGUCUUCAUGCACCAUCUAGGUGAAAUUAAGAUUAGUAAAGGCUCUGCACUCCAUCUUAGAAAAGGACUAUAACCCAGGUUGUGGCACAUGAACUGACAAAAAUGAAAGCUAUAGAACUUGGACUUAUGGUCCUCUGUGGAGAAAACCUUUUGUGUUUGUACUUUGGUGUGGGGUUGUUUCCAUGAUGCAGGACAGGCCAUUUGGGCAGGGCAAGCCAGGUUAGAAUGAUGCUGGAAAAUGGUAAAAGUCUCAACUUAUUACGAGAUUAUGUAUGGUAAAAGUCUCGGGGCAUGUAAUAACAUCUCUCUUUGGUUUAUGUACACAUUGAAGGUUCAUAAGAGCAGCUUAAAUUGAAGCCAUUGCUUUUCAACAAACUAGCUAGGCAUCAUCUGAUCAAAUUUUUCUUCAUUGAGUACCCAAUGUAUGGCAAAGAUGACCUGCAAACCAUUCUACAGAUGGGUUUAGGUCAAAAUACCAACGGUAUCCAAUGGAAGUGUUUAUUUUUUAUUUUCUUUCAGAACCAGUAAUGUAAGACAGCAAUUAAGUGAUAAUUAGAGAGGAAGAGUUUUCUAGCUACCAGCUUUAAUUAUCCAUCUUGUUGGAUAUUUUGUCUUAUGUAUUAAGAACAAGACAUAAAUUCUUCAAGAAAUUUGGAAAUUCUCUUUAUAAAAUGCAUUUGGGUCU